GACGAACGCUGGCGGCGUGCUUAACACAUGCAAGUCGAACGGUGAAGCGCCUUCCUUUUUGGUGGGUGUGGAUGAGUGGCGAACGGGUGAGUAACACGUGAGUAACCUGCCCCCUUCUUCUGGAUAACCGCAUGAAAGUGUGGCUAAUACGGGAUAUUCUGGGUCUGUCGCAUGAUGGGUCUGGGAAAGAUAUUGUUUCGGUGGGGGAUGGGCUCGCGGCCUAUCAGCUUGCUGGUGGGGUGAUGGCCUACCAAGGCGGUGACGGGUAGCCGGCCUGAGAGGGUGGACGGUCACACUGGGACUGAGACACGGCCCAGACUCCUACGGGAGGCAGCAGUGGGGAAUAUUGCACAAUGGGCGCAAGCCUGAUGCAGCGACGCCGCGUGAGGGAUGGAGGCCUUCGGGUUGUGAACCUCUUUCGCCAGUGAAGCAGGCCUGCCUCGUUUGUGGGUGGGUUGACGGUAGCUGGAUAAGAAGCGCCGGCUAACUACGUG
rnacentral:rRNA from 1 species